GGGUUCACUUCAACAGCACAUAUACUAAAAUUGGAAUGAUACAGAGAAGAUUAGCAUGGCCCUUUUGCAAGGACGACACAUAAAUUUGUCAAGCAUUCCAUAUUUUU
ensembl:snRNA U6 U6 spliceosomal RNA